CCACCGAGAGAAAGAAAAACAAAGACAAACAAGGCUGGUCACUUAUUUUGUCCCACUUUAGCCGAGAGAGAGAGUAGAGAGAGUUGAGAGGAAAGAUUUGUGUCCUGCUCCAACCUUCCAUCCGAGAGAAGCUUGAGAGAAAAUAAAGAAAUUUCUCUUAUUUUGCUUCCACUUCAACCAAGAGCAACGAGAGAGAGAAAAUUGAAAGGAAGCUUGUGUCUUACUUCCAUUUCAGCUUGCUUGAUCGAGUAGAGGACCAAAACUGGAGUUAACUUCUAGCUUGUUUUAAAGGUAACAUGAUUUGAAACUUCAAUUUCUUUCACAUACUUUAGAGGGCUUUUGAUGUAUGUUAAAUUUAAGCCAAAAGGUAGGAGUUUAGUGGAAGAAAAAUAUACUUUUCUAAGUUAUAGGUUGCUGGAAUUUUAAUUUAGUGACAUAUGCUGAUAGUUUUUAUUUGCAGCUUUGUAUUUGAACUCUAAUAGGUUUCCUUACUAACAACUCAGGUCAUAUGUUUCAUCUUAUGUUAAAAAUGAUAUAUGGUGUCUUUGCCAUGAAAAUGAGUGAGAAAUUAGUGGCUUGGAUGAAAGAAAGUUUGAAGGAACCUGGUUGGAAAAAAUCUGUGGGCUGACCGAUUGCAUAAAGUUGGAUAUAUCAGUUUUACUUUAAAGUUGGAGUGAAGUUUUGCUAAGAUUUCAUGUUUUAUAUCAUGACAACCGUGUAUAUAGAAGUUAAUAUGUUUAUAUGGUUGAAUAAUAGUUAUAUGUUCAUUGAUUUGGCUGAAAAUUUGUUUAAGAGAGCUUGAGAAAAAUUGGAGGAACUUUGUUCCAUCCUUGUCAGCCUGCUAUCUCAUUCCUUUGAGAAGUUUCUACUAGGAAGUCAUGCUCUAAAUGUUAUAUUUCUUGUUUAGUAUGCUAUAGUAUGUUGUCUUUGAAUUGGGUAGCAAAUUGCUAGCUUAAAUGUGAGUUAUUGGCAGCAAUAAAGUUGGAAUAACUCAAGUGAAAGGUUGAAAUUUCAGGUGACAGUCACCCCUAGGCCAGUUUUAGUAAACGAAUCAUAACUUUGUGUAGAAAAAUCGAAAUUGAGUACCGUCAAUUGCGUUUGAAACUAGACUCAUAGAUCUUUCCAAUGGUAUAAAAUUGGAAGUGUGGUUCAUUUUAUAUAUGCACCAGAAAAUCAGCAAAGUUGACUGAAAAAUCGGUCCUGAACAAGUAAAAAUUGGGUGCUGUGGUAACUUGUGACUCAAUUUGGAUUAACUUAUGAACCAAAUCUCCUUGAGAUGUCUGCUAAAGAUUGUUAGUAUUUCAAGUCUAGUUUUAAACGAGAUAAUUUGUAUGAGUUUUUCGACAUUUAUAACUUAAGUUAUGAUUUUUCCAAAGAAAGAAUGCUUGCUGAAUUUUAGCUUUGAUCGCUAAAUUUUCAAGAUGAUUUUAAGCUCAAUUUGUUCAAAACACCCUAGAAGACUUUAAACUACAAGUAUGUGUUGGAAAUGAACCAAAACCAUGGACCUUAAGUGGUUUAAACUCCAUUUAUUUCACUGUUUCCAUGGCUGAAUUCUCCUUAAGGUUGACUGAAAGAGAGAGUGAUUUUGUUAGCUUUAUUCUUGGUUUUGUGUGGUGAAAUCAACUUGUUAAUGUCCUAAACACAUGAUUAAAUAUUAACAUUGGUAUGAGUAGUGAAUUGGAGUAGAAAAUGAAAGGUUUUGAGAGGUGCAAACUUCACUUUUACAUGUUUCAUGUCCCAAGCAAUAAAUUUCCCGUUUUAGUUAAGGAAAAUGAAAAUGAGUGUUAAAAUGCUAAUAUCAUGUUUACUAUAUAUUUUAGCCAUGUCAUGUAAUUUUUCCAGCUUGCAUAUCUUCCAUUAGUUUGCUUAUGGAAAUUUAAGCUUGUGGAGUUGAACUUUUGCUUGACGGCCAGCCUUGGUAUGAAGACAUGUGAGCUGAAUAUUUGUCUAUUUUUGUGGCUUUAUGGUCUGAAACUAGUAGCUUGUAUAGCCUACCAUUUGUGGUCUUGAUUUGGAUGGUUUGGCUAUGAAAUUUUGUAUUGAAUUUGGAGAGGAAAUAUAGGAUAAAACAGGGGUUAUGCUGUCCAAAUUUUGGGGCAGCUUACUACCUUGAUUUUGGACUGAUUUGGUGAUGUACUUGCCUAAUAUACUUAGUGAACCUUUAAGCUUUGCUUAUGUAUUGCAUUUUGGUUGAAAUGGAAGGGUUUCAUUGGGAUUUUCUUCCAAAUUGCUGGCUAAAAUUGUGCUUGUUUGUCGAUGGAGAGUGCAGCCUAUUACAUUGUUGUUUUUCUAACCUUUUAGUAAUUGGUUUUGGCCAAAACUUGUUCCAAACUUUGGAGGAGUCUUUUGUGCGUGAAUUUGAGUGAAAACUAUGAAGAUUGGGAUGUGAAAACCUCAUGGUUGUACUUGUUUCAUGGCUGUGAAAAAAUUCUGAUUUGGAGGGCAGUUUUGCACCUUGCUACCUUUUAGCCUCAACGUCUUUAGUUUGAAAGUCUUUUGGACACAACCUCGCUGACUUGACUUGAGAAAACCUUGUUUCUUUCAUUGGUUCGCCGCUGAAAAAUUUCCUGCCAUGAAGCGAAUAACGAACUUGUUGGUUAUUCAUGUUUCUUGAGUCCAAAAUGCUCUUAUACGCUUCAAAAUCCUACUUGAGUUUUUGCCCUAGAAUAUACUUAAAUUUUUCCUUGAUUUGCAUUCUAAAUAUGGCUGUGUAUGUUGGGUUUUGAAAAAAAAAAUUAACUUGGAGAGGUAUACGACUCAUAGUCGAGUCUAAAUUAUGAAUUCUGUUCACUUGGUUAUUCUUAGGGCUUGUUUGAUCAAGGGGGCAAUCCAGGAGGAAACUUUUGAUGCUAUUUUUGCUUGAACUAGUGAGUGUUCCAACUGCAAGUUUCAUGUUACUUGUUGCACAAAUAUGCCUUGUAUAUGACUUGUUACUUGAAUUGACUUGUUAUUACAUAGGUGAGUGUGUACUUUAUCACACUCAACCUAACUUGACUGAAUUCCUGUUUUACUACUAUAAGUGAAUUGUUUACAAGUGAAUUGAGAUUCAUGCGCAUGAGUUGAAAGUAACGGCCUGGAUCCUAAACCCCAUAGACUAGUUAAUCGAGUCGAGCCGACAAGGGUCUGGUCGAUUAGAUAACGAACCCUGGUCUACUGUUUUGUCGAGUGGAGUGUUAUCUUCUCGACUAAUUGGUAUACUCGAAUAUUACCACCACUGUUUAUAUUUGGAGUUCGGGUCCGGUAGGGGGUUGAUUGGUGGAUGGAGGUUGGAGUUAAAUGGUGAUCUACUGGACUUGUUAUGAUUCCAUGGUUGACGGAGUGUCAACAGAUUCUGAACAAGUUGUCACGAAACCUGUUCCCGAGAACAGACUGUAUCAUUUUAUAUGCAUGUGUUAUCAGUUGUACGUGGUUAAAUGAGUUGUCUGGAUGUUAUGUUCUUUAUGAAAAAUGUGAUCAUGCUAUCAUAUGAAUGCUAAAAUACCUAAUUUCUUGUUGUUCUCUUGGAACCUCACUGAACUUUUAGCUCAUCCCUUCAUUUGUUUUCUUUAACAGGGUACGGGGAUGACAAGGACAAGAAUAGUGCUAGUUGUAAUAGGAAAUCUUAAUCUUGUAUUUGGACGGCACUGUAUUAUGGUAUUAGUUUACAAGUUCUUAUCUUUUGGUUUGUAUUUUGGUUUGUAUAUUCGAAUAAUUGGUAGUAUGUAGAUGUUAUGUUGAAGAGUUUUAGCGUUAUUGAUUUGCUAUCCAAAGAAUAAGGAAUUCAAAAGCUAUAGUCCUUAUUUUAAGUAAUUGCAAUCCUAUUUAUACUUAGAGAAGUGAUUGAACUACUUGCAUUUCAUUUCGCUUAGUCGUAUACAUAAGUAUGGAGUUUUUUUGUGAAUUUGGAUGGCUUGUAAUAUCUAUUGGGGAGUUUUGUUC
rnacentral:lncRNA from 1 species